rnacentral:lncRNA from 12 species
CUCUUCCUGUGCUUGUGGGUUCCUACUUCCUCCUCUGGGCAGGCGCGGCGGACACUUCCUGUGGGAGCAACGUCAGCCCGGGAUCCACUCUGUUGUCUGCACAGUGUGUACGCUGGAUGCGCUGGUUCCGCAUCCUCCUUUGUUCUCGGCUGCUGGGCUGCCCCGCCCCUUCAGGCCUCUGCACCUGCUGCUCUGCACUCCCGCUGCCGGAUCGCAAUCCCUCCCGCUUGCAGUCUCCUCUGGAGGACCCUGCCUGGACCUUCUAGGUUGGAGCUGGGAGGUAUACUGUGUAUCUCCUCUGGGACUUGUAUGGAUGCCCUCAUCCAGUGACAUGCCUGCCUGGUGUAAUAAACCCCAACAUCUGGCCUUUCUUGUGAGAGCUUCCAAAUAGGAACCUGUCCAACCGACUUCUUCAGUCAAAUGGUAAAUACACCACAAUAACUGCCAAAAUAGGUACAAAGAGACAUCAGCUUGUAAUAAGGGGUAUGAAUGAGACUGGGGUUAUUAGCCCCAUCAUCUGACCCUUUAAUAGCUGCAUCUGACCAGUCUUAAAACUGGUUAGAGAUGAACAAUUGACAAUCAGAACUUAAAUGCAUAUGUUUCUUCCACCAAAGCUCCCAUGCCCAGUAUUCUAGAGAUGAUAGAUAACAUUCAAAAAGCUCAAAGCCACUACUUUUCUGUCCUAGAUCUAGUCAACAUGUUUUACUUACAACUUCAGUUUGUUUUUAGUUUUGAGAGCACUCUAUAUCUUUAACUUGGCUGCCUAUGGAUUUUCUAAAGAGCCCUGUCAUUGCACAUAACUUGUGCAGUCAAAGUCUAAGUUUAUGCAAAUUAAGUCACUGCCACCUUUGACUUUAUAUAGAUGACAUUCCACCAUGGAGGACUUCUGAGGAUGCCAUUCAAGAAGAUUUACACCUAGUGAUAAAUUAUUACCCCCAAAUAAGAUACAAAGACCAGUGAUGUCUGUCAAGUUUCUUGGCAUAGUAUGGUCAGCUAAGGUCUAAGAUGUCUUACUAGAAGAUAUCAGGUUUUCACAAAUAAGUUUCCCACUACACUAUAGCAGGUACAGCACGUAUUAGGUUCCUUUGUCUUUUGGCGGAAACACAUUCUAAAUUUAUUUAUUCUACUUAAACCUACUUAUGAUUUUAUACACAAAACAGAUCCUUGCUUUGGGGAGAACCUUGACAAACUGUUUUGUGGCUGGCCCCAGUGAGCCAUGUGGUAGCCUCUGCCCUUAGUCCUUUGGGCUCAGAUUUCUGAGUUGAAUCAGUAGAUGCUUCUAAUCAUGCAUCAUAGAUUCUUUGGACUAAGCACUUCUCUACUUGGCUUUCCAUGGGGUUCUGAACCAAAUAUCUUCUUCAAAAAACAGCCUGGUACAUACCACUAAUCCC